GCUACUGUAGAAGUGGCUGGCCUAGAUGGCUACUGUAGAAGUGGCUGGCCUAGAUGGCUACUGUAGAAGUGGCUGGCCUAGAUGGCUACUGUAGAAGUGGCUGGCCUAGAUGGCUACUGUAGAAGUGGCUGGCCUAGAUGGCUACUGUAGAAGUGGCUGGCCUAGAUGGCUACUGUAGAAGUGGCUGGCCUAGAUGGCUACUGUAGAAGUGGCUGGCCUAGAUGGCUACUGUAGAAGUGGCUGGCCUAGAUGGCUACUGUAGAAGUGGCUGGCCUAGAUGGCUACUGUAAGCUUCUCUGGAUGUUUUGAAGUUGUUUCCUUCCAAUGAACGAGAAGAAUGGGGCUUCGCCAAAAAAGUAGUCGGCUCUCUUCUAAUCUACAUAAUAGCACACUACUUAGAUUGAACCAAUGUAUUGGGAAUGCUAACGUGUUAUGCUAGCAUGGACACUGGAAAUAGCUAGUGUGUAGCACAUGUACAGGACUAAAUUAUUGCACUCACUCAUUCUCUCAAGUGUAGCCCAUGGUCAGCCUUGAUACAUUAACCACCCUUAGUGUGGCUAAUGUAUCAGAGUGGAAUGAAGGCCCAAAGAUCCCUAAAGUGAAGUUGCUCUAAAAGACGAGAAUUUUGCCACAGAUGCCUUUCAAACUCUUCCCUCCAGCCAGUCACAAGCCCACCAGAGGGAGCACAACAAAAGGUUGGAGAGGUGAGCCAGAACAGAGUUAUAGCCUAAUACAAUUCAAUAUAGUAAGUAUAUUGCCAUUUGGCCAUCCAGUAUACUGCAACAGAAAACACUCCCAAAAAUUGAGUCCUACAUUUUAGUUGAAUAUGUUUAAAAGUUUGACCAAUAGAUUUGCAUAAGGGUCUACAUUGCAGCAAUUACAACUCUCAUUCUUUGCAGUGCAGAUCUCCACUUUCCAGGGUUCAACUCUGUUGACCAUAGUCCUAGUGACAAGCAACACAAGGGAGUCAAGGUUGGUCAGUUACACUAGCAGAUAGUAAGCCUAAUGUCAGAUGCAAGACUUGUUGACUUUGUCUUACACCCUUUGAAAACCAAAGUUGUAUUUUUUGUAGACUAUUCUUUUCGAUGGUGAGUAAUGUUGAUUGUAGUAGAGCUGAUGCUGUGUAAUGUCUGUUGUGGCUGUUAUUGCAGCUCAGCCCAGAUCAAUCUUUUGGCUAGCUGCUCCAGUGCAUCAUGGGGCUCUGGCUCCCUAUUGAAGUGGAUCCCCAAUCCCCAACACAUCCUUAAGAGCCACGCCCAAAAUAGGUCACAUGAUUUAUUGUAUUUGAUGUGGAUUUUAUCUUUAUUUUUUGUCAUAUCAGUCACUUUAUGUUAUAGCCCUAGACCUUAGAUUGUAUUGUUUGCUUACCACGUAACCUUCUUUUUAGGCAUUAAACUUGGCAGAUAUGCAGAUUUUGGUGUCAAAUUGCCUUUUUGUACACAUGCCUAAACUGUCAAGGAGCCUUCUGUCAUUUGCCUUCUGUCCUGAAAAACCUCAAGUGAACAGAAAGAAGUCCAAGAAUGUGUGGAAGAGGGUGCUGUUCCAGCUGACUCCAUUGACGUCACAGCUGAGAAGUGAGCAUGGGUUGGGCUCCCUAGUGGCACAGCAAGCUGUCCACCCAAAAGACCUUGUCCUGGCCAAAAGCCUGACACUGACCCCCAGAGGGAGGAGGAGGAUGCUGGUAGACCCCAGGCCCAGAACCAGGAGCUCCUGUCAUUGUAGGCUAGCCCAGAGGCCCAGACCCAGGCUCAAACAUGCCCCCCCUCAUCACCCAGGGUCCCCAGUGCUUUCCUCCUCAGGAACAAACCUCUGGUGUUCCACAGUGUUAGGGAGAGGGUGCUGAGGUGACACACCCAGCAGGAUCGCUCAACAUACAAACUGGACAGCAAGGUCACUCAUACUGUCAUAGUACUGCCCCAUGGCAUUAUUUUGUAUCUCGAAGUAUGGCUGACCUAUGAUCUGACUUGACAUUAAAAGGGGUGUCUCCAUUGCUCUCUGAGUGAAAUGGAAUGCGUAGAGUACAUGUAACUAACAGGCGUGAAACCUGCUGCUGCUUCUCAGUUCUUAUUCAUCAGGCUUGUUGAGAGAUGGGAAAAACCCUGAUUUGGCUCCACAUGCCUAGCAAUGAGGGAGUGUCACGGGAGAGUGAAACUGGGCAUUGGUUCUGAAGAUGUGGGCCCUGAUAGCUCCUAUUACAGUGAGCUUUUCUGCCUAGUUUUAUAACUGUUUAUUUUCUGUUUUCCAACAUCUCAUGUAGAGUGGUCAGUGGUCACGUACUUCCUUGAUUAUCCAUGCUUUAGGAAGAAUCUCUUACUCUAGACUGGAGGAGAUUGACUGGAAUAGGUCGGUCUUCUCAGACUAUCUGUGGAGAAAGCACAACCUUCUGCCCAACUGUGACAGAGAAAAGCCAUAGACUCCCCCAGAAGACACAACUGUGGGAUGGCUUUUGCUUCUACCCCAUCCCUAAGGCCAUGCUCCAUCACCAAUCCAGGAUCCCUCUGUCCAUAGGUCCUGCUGUUUGGCACUGCCUGGGAUGUGGCGGGGCCAUGGUGGUGGUCCACUGGCCUCCAAGUGCCAUCUCUCAUUGGUGCCAAACAGUUCCUUCAGGUUCUGUAGCAGCUCCAACCUCAGCUGUCUCAACCCUUUGCAACCAAACUGCCAAGGAGAGGAUGAUACAUUUGGCCUAUGCUCAGGGAGAGAGGCUGGAGGAGGUCAAGGAGGAACUCUGUGGACAAUGGCCACAGGCCCUCAGGGUCCCAGCCAUCCUCUAGCGUCAACUCUGAUACAAAUGGAGAUAGUCAACCUUUAAAAGGAAGAAAGACACUGAAAGAUCCAGGACUAAGACCCAGAAGUAAAAACACUCAUCAGGCCUGUGAACAUGAAAUCUUUCAUCCAGAGCUUCCCUUAUAUUUUAGAUAAAUAAUAAUAUUUCUGUCUGCUUGCUUUUUCUUUCUGUCAAAGUGUAGCCUAACAUGGUAACAACAAUAUAUGUUACAUCAUUUCUACAGGCCUAAUCCUUAUUCAACAAUCAACUAUCUCAUGAUUCAGUAUUUGAUUAUUUAACCAGUCAGCUUCAUGGCAGCCUUGGGGAUCAGGAUUGUAGGUGCACCUCACCACAGGGUGGUGGUGCGGUCUGCCUAAUGAAUCACAGGAAGGCCAUCAAGGACCUCAACCACCCGAGCCACGGCCUGUUAAUCCCACUACUGUAGUCAAUGAACAGCUGAGCGGUAGUCAAUGAACAGCAUUCUCACAUAGGUGUUCCUUUUGUCUAGGUGGGAAAGGGCAGUGUGGAGUGCGAUUGAGAUUCCAUCUGUGGAUCUGUUGGGGCAGUAUGCAAAUUCUAGUGGGUCAAGGGUUUCUGGGAUAAUGGUGUUGAUGUGAGCCAUCACCAGCCUUUCAAAUCACUUCAUGGCUACUGACGUGAGUGCUACGGGGCGGUAAUCAUUUAUGCAAGUUACCUUUGCUUUCUUGGGCACAGGGACUAGGGGGGGUCUGCUUGAAACAUGUAGGUGUUACAGACAUGGUCAGGGAGAGGUUGAAAAUGUCAGUGAAGACACUUGCCAGUUGGUCCGCGCAUUCUGAGUACACGUCUUGUUCACAUCGCCCUCGGAGAGCGUUAUCACACAGUCGUCCAGAACAGCUGGUGCCCUCAUGCAUGCUUCAGUGUUGUUUGCCUCGAAGCGAGCAUAAAAUACACUUAACCCAUCUUGUAGGCUUGCGUCACUGGGCAGCUCGUGGCUGGGCUUCCCUUUUAUAGUCCAUAAUAGUUUGAAAGCUUUGCAACAUCCUUCGAGCGUCAGAGCCGGUGUAGUAGAAUUUAAUCUUAGUCCUGUAUUGAAGCUUUGCCUAUUUGAUGGUUUGUCUGAGGGCAUAGUCGGAUUUCUUAUAAGUGUGUGGAUUAGUGUCCCGCUAUUUGAAAUCAGCAGCACUAGCCUUUAGCUCGGUGCGGAUGUUGCCUGUAUUCUACAGGUAAUGGCGGACUGAACGUAGUUAUGUUGGACACCUCAAGAUAAAACUGUAGUAUUCAAUAUCGGCAAGUUAGACUAAAUAUUAGCACUACUCAAUCUGGUGGGUGAUUACCUUCGAUCUGGAUAAUAAUACAAAACAAAUCUUAAGGCUAGAGAAAUUUAUCGACAAAUGUUACGAAAACAAGCAACACCCAAACAUGACGGAGAGUAAGACUGAACCAAUUUCAAAACGAAAACGUGACUCUUCUACAGACAGACGAUUUAAUAUUUUCACCACCGGGAAUGGUAAAGGUCAAUCCCGAUCUGUUAAAAUCAAUAAAUGACAGUCAAUAAGAUUUAAAACCGAAGUGAAUGAACUUAAAAAGGAGAACAUUGUUCUGAGAGAAGCCUUACGUGACAUACAGACUAGAUCCAUGAGGGAGAAUCUGGUACUUAUAGGUAUCCAAGAGAAAGAAGGAGAAGUUCCUGAAUCCUUAGAGUUCCUCCUUACAUCGCUUCAGAUUCCACGCAAAGCUAUUGACAAAAUCCAACUCGUACGUGUUCGGCCAGAGAGGCAGAGGUAUGAACGCCCAAUCGUUGCCAAAGUUGCUUCAUUUAAAGAUAAAGUAAUGGUUAAAAGCCUGGGACUUGAUGGGACCAACAUUGGCAUGAAUGACCAGUUCCCAGAGGAAAUUGCAGAACGGCAUAAAGUUCUAUAUCCACUUUUCCAGGAAAAUAGAUUAAAAGGGAAACGAGUAGCUCUCUUCGUCGAUAAACUAUAUAUUGAUAACUAGUUGUUCAGAGACACAAACACUACUCCAUAGCUAUUUUAAAAAAUUACAAGUUCUUUUAGACGAGGAAAAUAAUGAAACGAUUCUAGCCCAGUUAUGGAUUGUAAUAAUACAAUAAAAAAUAUGAGCUUUUCUAUAUAUCUUCAAAUAUAACCAAUUGGAACACAAAAGCACUAAUUCAACAUGGUGAAGAUAAAAAUUCAGUAAACAGAAGGCAAAGUAUUUGUGUGUGGUGUGUUUUUUUUAAAAUUUUAUUUUAUGUGUGGGAAAGUGGCGUUGAGUGGGAGGAAAUGGUUGCAUAUCCCAGAACCAAUGUAUUGCUGUGAGCGGGGGUGUGCGAGAGCUUUCAAUGUUGUUCAGAUGAUGGAUAUACUUUUUAUACUGAAUUAUGUCUUUUUAUGUAUUUAUCAUGGGGAACUACAUUUUUAAAUAAAUUGUAUAUCUAAUUUAUUUAUUUACGAUCCUAUAUUGAUGGAACGGUCCACAACCCUAUACCUUAGACAGCCACCUGAAGGACCCAGAUACUAAGGACAAGUCCCUAACUGUUUUUGGCCCUGCUGUAAGCGGUCCGUAUGCAGUAAAAAUGCGGUCAGAGCCCUUCUAGAGCAGCACCGCCCCCUCAAGAUUCUGAGCCUGCCUGGCAGGGUUUGUCCUGCCAAGCCCCCUAAAGGGAGAGCAUUCUAUCAAGGAAAUUCUCAAAGCUACUAAUGAGAACCUUGACGACCUUGUACCUAGCCGGUGGGGUGCCCCCACCCAGGCAGUGGUAGUGCUGGCAACACUAGCUGCAGUAACCCAUGGGGAGGGGGUCACACUCAGACAUUCAGAGAGGGGGUAUAUUAUUGUGGCACAAAAUCAAGUCUGACUGCAUGGAGAUGCUUGGGAAUAUGGUCAAUACGGGGGACUGUGUUGUGGGUGUUUCAGGGAAAAGGUGUACAUUUGACCUCCAUCUAGGAUGUGACAAUGGUUCAUAAAAUCUCUCAAUUUCUGCUCAUUUUGUUUUUUUGCACGGUCCUGCAGGCCUUCUCAUACAGCUGCAACUGUAUAUGCAUUUGAAAAAUAAAGACCUUUCUUAA